CCUACGGGGGGCAGCAGUGAGGAAUAUUGGUCAAUGGGAGAGAUCCUGAACCAGCCAAGCCGCGUGAGGGAAGACGGCCCUAUGGGUUGUAAACCUCUUUUGUCGGAGAACAAAACCCGGGACGUGUCCCUGCCUGCGUGUCUCCUAAGAAAAAGCAUCGGCUAACUCCGUGCCAGCAGCCGCGGUAAUACGGAGGAUGCGAGCGUUAUCCGGAUUUAUUGGGUUUAAAGGGUGCGUAGGCGGUCCGUUAAGUCAGCGGUAAAAUGGCGGGGCUCAACCCUGUCGAGCCGUUGAAACUGGCAGACUGGAGUGGGCGAGAAGUAGGAGGAAUGCGUGGUGUAGCGGUGAAAUGCAUAGAUAUCGCGCAGAACUCCGAUUGCGAAGGCAGCGUACCGGAGCGAGACUGACGCUGAGGCACGAAAGCGUGGGGAUCGAACAGGAUUAGAUACCCCAGUAGUC
rnacentral:rRNA from 1 species